GUAAAGAUGAAUGUUUAGGAGAUACCACAAGAGCCCAAGAUUCCACUAACCAGAUUAUCUCCUUCUGUCAUAUUACUAAUCUAUGUUACCUAAGGGCUUGAAGGAGAAGACCUAAAAGAAAGUGUUGGAGAAGGUAGAGGAUGGACCCUUUCUAACUGACUGACAAGGAGUUAGUUCUGAAUUUUAUUGUGAAUAUGCUUUGUUCUAGGAUCCAGCUCAUCAGAACAAGUGAAAAUAAUGAUAACUGCAUAAAAAUCUCUAUCACUACAAUGUUCCUAAACCUUCCUGCUUAUACCAUAUAAUUUUCUAUUUGAUUUAAAUGGAGCACAACAACCAAGGCCAUUAUGCUAAGCAAAAUGAGCCAAAGAUGGAUGCUACAUGGUAUCACUUAUUUUUGGAAACUAUCACUUCUGUAAUGAGAAGACCGGGGUUCCAUCCCUGGGUCAGGAAG
ensembl:lncRNA